CCCCGCGUGCACCCCCAGCACCAGGCUCCGCUGUAGACAUCCACGAAACCUUUGUGGAGGCCAAAACUGAAGCGGCCCUGUCUGCGCAGCAGGUGCUGAGGGUGGAGGACAGACGUGGGGUGUCAGGCACAGCUUAGCAUGCAGCCGGGCUUCGCCCUUCCUGGCUAAUCCUGUCCUGAUGCCCAGGGCCAGCAAGUGUGUGCUGUGCUGGGCUACGGCCGGGUCACGCAGGGCUCCGAGCACUGUAUGGUGUCCCUGGAUUUCCCUCUUCUGCCAGCGACCCCGGGAAAGCCCGAGGGAACUGUCUGUCCACCUGCACCAUGUUGGACAUGGAGACCUUUGUUGCUCAGCUGUGCACAAGGGAAAUCCCUGAGCCUCCUGCAGUGGCGAGGUGAUGGAGGAGCCUGCAAGCACUGCUCACCGCUUGGACCACCUGGGACCCAUGCUUUCGCAGCUGAAGUGAGAUCUCCUGGCCACAGUCCCAUUGUCGGGCAGAAUUGGCCUGAAACAACAACAUAAGAAAAUACUAAUGCCAGUACAAAUAAAUGAGGACUGACAUAAAAGGAAAGGCCUUGC
rnacentral:lncRNA from 1 species